GACGAACGCUGGCGGCGUGCUUAACACAUGCAAGUCGAACGGAAAGGCCCUGCUUUUGUGGGGUGCUCGAGUGGCGAACGGGUGAGUAACACGUGAGUAACCUGCCCUUGACUUUGGGAUAACUUCAGGAAACUGGGGCUAAUACCGGAUAGGAGCUCCUGCUGCAUGGUGGGGGUUGGAAAGUUUCGGCGGUUGGGGAUGGACUCGCGGCUUAUCAGCUUGUUGGUGGGGUAGUGGCUUACCAAGUCAUUGACGGGUAGGCGGCCUGGGAGGGUGACCGGCCACAUUGGGACUGAGGUACGGCCCAGACUCCUACGGGAGACAGCAGUGGGGAAUAUUGCACAAUGGGCGGAAGCCUGAUGCAGCAACGCCGCGUGCGGGAUGACGGCCUUCGGGUUGUAAACCGCUUUCGCCUGUGACGAAGCGUGAGUGACGGUAAUGGGUAAAGAAGCACCGGCUAACUACGUG
rnacentral:rRNA from 1 species